UAAAAUGUAACUUUAAAUAUUUCAAAGCGAUUGAACCCAUGAACAGGAAAUCCUUUUCACUCUUUUGUUUUUGUAGUGGUGUUUUGCCUGUUUGUGUGUGUUCGCUCCACAUGCAUGCCUGGUGCCUCCAUGGAUUGGAUUGGGCUGGAUACAGACUUCCAGGAAACUCUUCUAGAAUCAUAGAUUUGACAGUCUAUAGUGAAAAUCCGGUUGCGUUAUUUACAAGCUGUAUGGCCUUAGCAAGUUAGCUAACUUCUCCAUGUUUCUCUUUGUGUGUGGGGGAGAGGGGGUCGAGACAGGGCUUGUCUGUGUAGCCUGGCUGUCCUGGAGCUCUGUAGACCAGGAUGGCUUCCAACUCACAGAGAUUGGCCUGCCUCUGCCUCUCCUGUACUGGAAUUGAAGGCCUAUGCCACCAUGCCCAGCUUCAUGUUUCUCUUUGUAAUAGGUAAGUAACGAGUUAACAGCCCCUACUUUACAGUGUUGAAUUAAAUUUACAAUAAGGGAUUUGAAAGCCUGGGCGCUGUGUUGCACACCUGUGACCCCAGCAAUUAGAAGUAGGAAGCAGGCUACCUGGAAAAUUCAAGGAUAACGAGCUAUAUAAGACCCUGACUUAGGAGAAAAAGAGAAACAAUAAUUUGAAAUAGUGUCUACCCUGAGAACUAAGUAUUAUCUAGUCUCAUUAAUUACAAUGCUUCUAAUUCCAGGAAAUUUUAAAAAAACAAAUAAAAUUCAUAGUUCUGGGGAAGUUAGAACAAAUGUGGGAAGAAGGCAUCCUUUAGGUUCAGCAACUUUCGUCAUUCUGUCCUUUGCUCCACUUGGGGGAGAGAAAAGGGCCUAGGGCACAUCUGUGAAGAAAUCUGAACUCAUCAACACAACCAUCUUGGAGACUUCUUCCCAGGAAAGACAAAAAAAGAUUAAUUUCCUAACUCAGAGGUAUGUGUGUGUUGUUUGUGUUUAUUUCCCUGUUCCUGUUUUUUUUUUAUUCAUUCCAAGACUUUAAUGGAAUGACUCAAAAGAAAAGCGGUUACAAUUACUAGAAAGAUCUAAAAUGCCACCAGAUGAAACAGUCACAGCAUUUCUGUAAUCCAUGCUUCCUCCCAGAUAAAGGCGGAGUGUCUACGUAAUGUCUCCUCAACAAAGCGCCCUAAAUCCUCACUGGGAACCAUCUGGAAUCACCCCGCAAAGCUUCGGGGAGUUCCUCCGGAGUCUGGGGAUUUAACAGAACUACUGCAAGCGAGCGCCUGCGGGCCCCUGCUCUCUCAGGCGCACGCCCUGCACCGCACUGCUGCCCACGUCAGGACUACGAGUGCGAGCGCCUGCGGGCUACUGCUCUCUCAGGUGCACGCCCUGCACCGUACAGCUCCCUACGUCAGGAACACGCGCGCCAGGGCCUACAAAUGGGGCGGCUGCUCUAUCUCCCGCCUCGGGGCGUGCCUACACCGCCCCGCGCGUCAAACUGCACCGGGCUUCGCGGCCCCGUGCGUGAUUAGCCCCGUCUUCCAGGGCUCCCUAGGUUUUCUGUGUCGCUGGCUCCCCGCUGCGGCACCCAGUCCCUUGCAUCCCUCCCGCCACGCACACCAGAGGAAGGCGGAAUCUAGUGAGUCCCGUCACGUGGGCGCUGGGUGAGCAGAAGCGGUCUGCGCAGAGGACAUCUGCGCAGUGUAGUGAGUGCCCGCGCUUCGCCGGCCUUGGCGCCCGCAGCCUGAGUGGAAAAUUUUCAGGAGGCGUACUGAGGCUGCGCGGUGCUGGCCACUCCCCUUCCCUCGGGGGGCCUCCUUCCC
ensembl:lncRNA